GUACAGUCGGGUUAUCCUCCAUGUUUAAUUUAAACUAGUAGGACAAUCUGAAAGCAUUUUGCACCUUCAGGUCAUCCUACCUGUUUAAUUUUUACUAGUGGGACAAUCUGACAGCAUUUGGUACAGUCAUGUUAUCCUCCCUGUUUAAUUUAAACUAGUAGGACAACCUGACAGCAUUUUGUACAGUCAGGUCAUCCUACCUGUUUAAUUGAAAAUAGUAGGACAAUCUGAAAGCAUUUUGCACCUUCAGGUCAUCCUACCUGUUUAAUUUAUACUAGUAGGACAAUCUGAAAGCAUUUUGCACCUUCAGGUCAUCCUACCUGUUUAACUUAUACUAGUAGGACAAUCUGAAAGCAUUUUGCACUUUCAGGUCAUCCUACCUGUUUAAUUUAUGCUAGUAGGACAAUCUGAAAGCAUUUUGCACCUUCAGGUCAUCCUUCCUUUUUAAUUUAUACUAGUAGGACAACCUGACAGCAUUUUGUACAGUCAGGACAUCCUACCUGUUUAAUUCAUACUAGUAGGGCAAUCUGAAAGCAUUUUGCACCUUCAGGUCAUCAUACAUUUUAAUCUAUACUAGUAGGACAACCGGAAAGCAUUUUGCACCUUCAGGUCAUCGUACCUGUUUAAUUUAAACUAAUAGGACAACCUGACAGCAUUUUGCACCUUUAGGUCACCCUACCUGUUUAAUUUAUACUAAUAGCACAAUCGUGGGGAGUGGGCAGAUGCCUCUCAUCUGCACGGGAAAUGAACAACCCCGCCUUCCACGAGUUUCCUGCUGCCUUGCAGCUUGGCCUUGUCUGGUCAAAGGCUAUGGGAGUAAACCCAAAUAGAAAAUCCGGUACGGAAACCCUUAUACUAGUAGGACAAUCUGACAGCAUUUUGUACAGCCAGGUCAUCCUACCUCUUUAAUUUACACUAGUAGGACAACCUGACAGCAUAUUGUACAGUCAGGUCAUCCUAGCUGUUUAAUUUAUAAUAGUAGGACAUCCCGGCAGCAUUUGGUACAGUCGGGUUAUCCUCCAUGUUUAAUUUAAACUAGUAGGACAAUCUGAAAGCAUUUUGCACCUUCAGGUCAUCCUACAUUUUAAAUCUAUACUAGCAGGGCAAGCGAAAGCAUUUUGCACUUUAAGGUCAUCCUAGCUGUUUAAUUUAUACUAGUAGGACAAUCUGACAGCAUUUGGUACAGUCAUGUUAACCUCCGUGUUUAAUUUAAACUAGUAGGACAACCUGAAAGCAUUUUGCACCUUCAGGUUAUCCUACCCGUUUAAUUUAAACUAGUAGGACAACCUGAAAGCUUUUUGCACCUUCAGGUCAUCCUACCUGUUUAAUUUAUACUAGUAGGACAAUCUGAAAGCAUUUUGCACCUUCAGGUCAUCCUACCUGUUUAAUUUAAACUAGUAGGACAACCUGAAAGCUUUUUGCACCUUCAGGUCAUCCUACCUGUUUAAUUUAUACUAGUAGGACAAGCUGAAAGCAUUUUGCACUUUAAGGUCAUCCUUCUUUUUUUAUUUAUACUAGUAGGACAACCUGACAGCAUUUGGUAUUGUCAUGUUAUUCUCCAUUUUUAAUUUAUACUAGUAUGACAAUCUGAAAGCAUUUUGCACCUUCAGGUCAUCCUACCUGUUUAAUUCAAACUAGUAGGACAAUCUGACAGCAUUUGGUACAGUCAUGUUAUCCUCCAUGUUUAAUUUAAACUAGUAGGACAACCUGAAAGCUUUUUGCACCUUCAGGUCAUCCUACCUGUUUAAUUUAUACUAGUAGGACAAGCUGAAAGCAUUUUGCACUUUAAGGUCAUCCUUCUUGUUUAAUUUAUACUAGUAGGACAACCUGACAGCAUUUCCCACCUUCAGGUCAUCCUACCUGUUUAAUUUAUACAUGUAGGACAACCUGAAAGCAUUUUGCACCUUCAGGUCAUCCUACCUGUUUAAUUUAAACUAGUAGGACAAUCUAAAAGCAUUUGCACUUUCAGGUCUUCCUACUUGUUUAAUUUAAACUAGCAGUUAAACAGCGGAUGAUAUAGAUCUGCAGAUGAUGAUUGGUUGAUGAACACAGGUAAUCUCCGAACAUACACUUCUUUAAUGUUCCAGAUAUAACAUGACGAUUAACUUUACUUUACUUGUAGGUAAACAGAUGAUGACGACGACAGAUAACCACACCUUCAGGUCAUCCUACCUCUUCAAUUUAUACUAGUAGGACAAUCUAAAAGCAUUUUGUACAGUCAGGUAAUCCUACCUACUCUGUAGGUGGUACUAUAAUCCCUCCUCUCCUUAUAUACCUAGGGUCUUACUAAACUGGGUGAAUGGUUAUGGUAGGACAAAUAUUGCAGUGUGUAUAUAAAUCUAUUGUCUGUAUUGUAACAUAUUGUGUAGAUAAUUUGCUGUAUUAAAAAAAUAAAGUUGUCCCCCGAAGAGGGGGGGGGGGGUGGCGGGCCAAAAAAGUAGGAUAAUCUGAAAGCAUUUUGCACUUCCAGGUCAUCCUACUUGUUUCAUUUAUACUAGUAGGACAAUCUAACAGCAUUUUGCACCUUCAGGUCAUCCUACAUUUUAAAUCUAUACUAGUAGGGCAAGCGAAAGCAUUUUGCACCUUCAGGUAAUCCUACCUGUUUAACUUAUACUGGUAGGACAAUCUGAAAGCAUUUUGCACUUUCAGGUCAUCCUACCUGUUUAAUUUAUACUAGUAGGACAAUCUGACAGCAUUUUGCACUUUCAGGGCAUUCUACCUGUUUAAUUUAUACUAGUAGGACAACCUGAAAGCAUUUUGCACCUUCAGGUCAUCCUACCUGUUUAAUUUAAACUAGUAGCACAACCUGAAAGCAUUUUGCACCUUCAGGUCAUCCUACCUGUUUAAUUUAAACUAGUAGCACAGACUAAAAGCAUUUUGCAACUUCAGGUCAUCCUACCUGUUUAAUUCAUACUAGUAGGACAAUCUGAAAGCAUUUUGCACCUUCAGGGCAUCCUACCUGUUUAUUUUAAACUAGUAGGACAGUCUGGAAGCUUUUUGCACCUUCAGAUCAUCCUACCUGUUUAUUUUAAACUAGUAGGACAGUCUGGAAGCUUUUUGCACCUUCAGGUCAUCCUACCUGUUUAAUUUAAACUACUAGGACAAUCUAAAAGUCUUUUGCACUUUCAAGUCAUCCUACUUGUUUAAUUUAAACCAGCAGUUAAGCAGCGGAUGAUAUAGAUCUGCAGAAGAUGAUUGGUUGAUGAACACAGGUAAUCUCCGCACAUAUACUUCUUUAAUGUCCCAGAUAUAACAAGACGAUUAACUUUACUUUCCUUGUAGGUAAACAGAUGAUGACGACAACAGAUAACCACACCUUCAGGUCAUCCUACCUCUUCAAAUUUUACUAGUAGGACAAUCUAAAGCAUUUUGUACAGUCAGCAGUUAAACAGCGGAUGAUAUAGAUCUGCAGAUGAUGAUUUGUUGAUGAACACAGGUAAACAGAUGAUGACGACGACAGAUAACCACACCUUCAGGUCAUCCUACCUCUUCAAUUUAUACUAGUAGGACAAUCUAAAAGCAUUUUGUACAGUCAUGUAAUCCUACCUACUCUGUAGGUGGUACUAUAAUCCCUCCUUUCCUUAUAUACCUAGGGUCUUACUAAACUGGGUGAAUGGUUAUGGUAGGACAAAUAUUGCAGUGUGCAUAUAAAUCUAUUGUCUGUAUUGUAACAUAUUGUGUAGAUA